UACGGAGGGAGCUAGCGUUAUUCGGAAUUACUGGGCGUAAAGCGCACGUAGGCGGCUUUGUAAGUUAGAGGUGAAAGCCCGGAGCUCAACUCCGGAACUGCCUUUAAGACUGCAUCGCUUGGAUCCAGGAGAGGUGAGUGGAAUUCCGAGUGUAGAGGUGAAAUUCGUAGAUAUUCGGAAGAACACCAGUGGCGAAGGCGGCUCACUGGACUGGUAUUGACGCUGAGGUGCGAAAGCGUGGGGAGCAAACAGG
rnacentral:rRNA from 1 species